GACGAACGCUGGCGGCGUGCUUAACACAUGCAAGUCGAACGAAGAGCGAUGGAAGCUUGCUUCUAUCAAUCUUAGUGGCGAACGGGUGAGUAACGCGUAAUCAACCUGCCCUUCAGAGGGGGACAACAGUUGGAAACGACUGCUAAUACCGCAUACGAUCUAAUCUCGGCAUCGAGGAUAGAUGAAAGGUGGCCUCUACAUGUAAGCUAUCACUGAAGGAGGGGAUUGCGUCUGAUUAGCUAGGUGGAGGGGUAACGGCCCACCAAGGCGAUGAUCAGUAGCCGGUCUGGGAGGAUGAACGGCCACAUUGGGACUGGGACACGGCCCAGACUCCUACGGGAGGCAGCAGGGGGGAAUCUUCCGAAAUGGACGAAAGGCUGACGGAGCAACGCCGCGUGAGGGGUGACGGCCUUCGGGUUGUAAAGCUCUGUUAAUCGGGACGAAAGGCCUUCUUGCGAAUAGUGAGAAGGAUUGACGGUACCGGAAUAGAAAGCCACGGCUAACUACGUG
rnacentral:rRNA from 1 species